GGCUGUCCUGGAACCUGCUUUGUAGAUCAGGCUGGCCUCAAACUUACAGAUCAGCCUGCCUCUGCCUCCAGAGUGCUAGGGCUAACGGUUUAUGCCACUAUGCCCCUCUUAAUAAUGCCAAUUUCUCAAACUAUUAUUUCUAGAGAUAACAUAAGUGACAACCGCUUUGGGCUUUCUCUUUUUGAUCCCAGUAAACUUGUUUCUUUUUCUCUUCUUUCCUUCUCACUUUUUGCAUUGCCAGGGAUUGACCUCAGGGCUUGCACUCGUGCGGGGCAACUCUUCUGCCUCUGAGCUAUGGCUCCCUCGUUUGCUUUAGUUUUCUUACAGCACCCUCACGUUAUCCUUCCCCCAUCUUAAUUUUAGAGGGGAAAAAAACCCUCUCUUUUUGGGGGUAGGUUUCAUUAUGUAACCCAGGCUAACCUGGAACUCUAUUUGUAGCUCAGGCUAACCUGGAACUCCCUUUGUAGCUCAGGCUAGCCUGGAACUUAGGUUCCUUUUGCCCCAGCUUCCCGAGCACUCGGAGUUUCUUUACUUGCUUUGCUUAAGGACAUUUUGACAUAAGCAUUUUUUAUUUUGGAGCAUUUAUAGACUAAUAAAAGUUCUCAUUUACACCCCACCCAGUCUCCCCGUGGCUAUCAUAUUACAAGACACAGUACUGGGAUAUCAGCACCAGCUAAACACUCGCCUUCAUUCAGAUCUCCUUAGGGGUCCAAUCGGGGUAGCCACUUUGUCAUCACGAAUCCUUAGUGGUCGGUGGCAAUCUGUUGCUCUUCCUUUGCUUUUCAUGAACUGGAGUCUUGUCAGCUCUUCUCUAGACUGUCACAAAACUUCACUCUUUUCCCCAUGAAUAAGCUGAGGUUGUGGUUUUUAAGAUGAAUACCAGAGAGGUCAGUGCCCUUCUCUCGAGCCUUGUCAGAAGGCUUACACUGCUCUGGCUUUCCCUAGUGACGUUAACCUUGACCACUGAUCCAAGGCUGUCCUUGCCACAGCUCUCUAAAGGAACGCUAUCUCUUCAAUACCCUCUCUAUUCUGUUCCAACCCCGCCCCCUGUGUGUGUGUGUGUGUGUGUGUGUGUGUGUGUGUGUGUGUAUGUGUGUUACUAUACCAUGCUAUUCAUUAUUUUGCUCCAGUUGUCCCAGCAUGGAGCUCUCUGGGUUGGCUGCCCCUCUGGCAUGCUGUCUUCUAUUUCUUUGUUUUACAAUAGAACAUGUUCUAGGUCCAUCCGUGCUUCCCCUGUCCUAGAGCCCAAACUGCCCACUUCUCAAUUUGGAAGCCAAGGACUGUGUGAGGCGUGCACACUGGGACCAGAAUAUCAUUGUCCCUGGCCUUUCAGCAGAAGAACUAAGAAUACACAUAAUGCAAUUUGGGCAGUGGUGGCACACGCCUUUAAUCCCAGCACUUGAGAGGCAGGGGCAGGCGGAUUUCUGAGUUUGAGGCCAGCCAGAGUGAAUUCUAGGACAGCCAAAGGCUACACAGAGAAACCCAAAGAAGGAGAAGGAGAAGGAGAAGGAGAAGGAGAAGGAGAAGGAGAAGGAGAAGGAGAAGGAGAAGGAGAAGGAGAAGGAGAAGGAGAUGGAGAUGGAGAAGGAGAAGACAUGUGAUGCUUAGUCAUGCAACAGGAGCCCCCAGAAGUCCCGCAAUAGAGACCCUUACUCAUGCUUCGGGAUUCAUUGUUCUGGCAAGGAUAUUGACAGUUAAGCUGGAAGACGUCCCACACAGGGAAGGAUGGGCACACCUGCUGCUCCCCAUCAUAACUGAAGCAGGGACUUUCCCCAGCCCCACCAGAAGAGAUGGGGUUGUGUUUGUCCCACCAGGCCAGACCCCUGGAUCUGGGGACUCUUCUGUGAACUCAGGAGAUGGGAAAGGAAGAAAUGGGCAGUGAUUUGGGCCCAUUGUCUCCCGGACUCACUACUAACCUAUUGCUGACUAUCAAGCCCAGAGCCCUGAGAAGCGGGGGAGAAGAUCAGAAACCGACCUGCGAGCUAGCUACAAGUCAGCUUUCUCUUCGAUCUUGCCAAUACAUUUACGUUUCUGGAAUAUGGAUUGCAUCACUCAUCAUUAUUUUUAUAGUCACUGAUCACCUUUUUCCCUUUCUUCCUUUCUGCUUUCUUUUCUUAGACAGGAUCUCACUAUGUAUUCCUGGCUGGGCUGUAACUUACUAUGUAGAAUAGGUUGGCCACAAACUUCCAGAAAUAUAGAUUUCCUUCUGGUUGCUGGACCUAAAGGCAUUUGCCACCAUGAAUGGCCUCCUUCAUAUACUUUAAUUUUUCAAUCAACUGAGGAACCUGACUGUGGCCUGCCAAACCAGUUUACCUUCUGUAAAGAAAAUUAAAAUAACAUAGCCUCAGAUCUGAGUUGUGGCUUGCCCAUCGACCUCAGUCACGUGACCUUCGUAGAGGUGGUGAAUACAAAGGUUUUUCAUGGAACUUGGAGUCUGAGUCUACCUGAAGAUCUUUCCUGGUGCUGAGGGAUGAAGGAGACAUGAAACAAACCAAAAUGAAACGAAACAACAACAACAACAACAAAACCCACAUCCUGGGGACUCCUCCUUUCCUGCAUCCUGGGGACCCUUUCCCAUAGCUCCAAGCAGGGGCAGGAGGUUUUAGCUGACUAAGCACUCACAUUGCCUGCAUUCUUUGGAUAAAAGUAAAAUUUAGUAAACUUGGCACUGACCCAUGGCAAUUAUGACAUUCAUAGAAGGUCGUAUGUGGCUGCCCAGAAGGCAGAAGCUAAAGACAUAUUUGAAAAGGCGCCCUCUCCAGCAAUGAGUCCUUUUCUGUGAACAUACCCCUUGACAUGCGAGGUUCGUGGGACUCAGCAAACAAUACCCACGGUUGACACUUUGACAUGGUAAACUAAAGAAGUACCCCAUGAUCUCUGACUUCCCAUGCUUCUUGCUCACCUCUGUCUAGAAGUGAUGGGAGAAGCCAGCUCCAGAGCUCUUAUGUCUACCUGAAGACUGGUUUCCUAGUUCACACUCAACUGUGAGUCCUAUAACCACAGAGACUGCCAACCUAAGAGACCAGGGCAUACCAUAGGAGAGAAAACUAAAUCUGGCAGACCCAGGUGAACUCUGUCUGGUUUUUUGGGCUCAUUCAUUUCCCCUGAGGAAAGCCCUUGCUCCCCAUUAAACUUCUUUCUCUCUUGUGAAGAAUGUAUUUAAGCCUCAGCCAUCUGGCCAUUCUUGUGCAAUGUCCAUGAGUUUGUGCAUGGUACUGUAGAAGAAGUCGUGUCUGCAGAGACUGAGUGGACUGGUUAGAAUUUCAGUUCUGUGGAGAUUGGAAUAUUGCAGGUUCGGAAGUCUAGUUCCCUAUCUUGGGCUAGCUCUGGUCCUCAGGAACAGCCAUUCCUUGUGCACCUCUGUAUAGGAACAUUAUGUGACUAGCAGGUAAAACCCUUUUGGCAUCUAUUAACUUAGCAGACUACUAGCUUCCACCAACCCCAACGCUAAGGAGGAUGUCUGUCACCAGAUAGCAUCUUGGGUCUAUGGAAAGCCUCUCCCAACUCACUGUAACUGUCCCUUGAUGUACCCACCGAUGUGUUUUAAACUUGUCUUGGUUUAGGGCUUUCUUUGUUCUGUAAAACUUUACAACAUUAUAAAACUGCUUCCACAUUAGAACAUGGAAUUUGGGGGUAAGUCUACUUCUAAAUCUGUAUUUCUAGGCCAUGGUCACUCAGAAUGGCUCCAGAAUAAACUAUCUUUUAUUCCCUUAA